rnacentral:rRNA from 1 species
CGGGUGAGUAAUACAUCGGAACGUGUCUUCUAGUGGGGGAUAACUAGCCCGAAAGGGACGAGCUAAUACCGCAUGAGACCUGAGGGUGGAAAGCGGGGGAGUCGCAAGACCUCGCGCUGGAAGAGCGGCCGAUGUCCGAUUAGCUAGUUGGUGAGGUAAAGGCUCACCAAGGCGACGAUCGGUAGCUGGUCUGAGAGGACGACCAGCCACACUGGGACUGAGACACGGCCCAG